rnacentral:rRNA from 1 species
UUAAAGUGGUACGCGAGCUGGGUUCAGGAGGUCGUGAGACAGUUCGGUCCCUAGCCGUCGCAGGCGUAGGAAAUUUGAGAAGACCUGUCCUUAGUACGAGAGGACCGGGAUGGACGUACCUCUGGUGUACCAGUUGUCCUGCCAAGGGCAUGGCUGGGUAGCUAUGUACGGAAUGGAUAAGCGCUGAAAGCAUCUAAGCGCGAAGCCAACUUCAAGAUAAGAUUUCCCACCGCAAGGGUAAGACCCCAGAAAGACUAUCUGGUUGAUAGGUCGAAGGUGUAAGUGCAGCAAUGUAUUUAGCUUAUCGAUACUAAUAGGUCGAGGACUUGACCAAU